CCGGCCUGUCACGCCGGGGGUCGCGGGUUCGAGCCCCGUCCGCUGCGCCA
rnacentral:tRNA from 1 species